rnacentral:rRNA from 1 species
AGGAAAGCAGGGGAUCGCAAGACCUUGCGCUUUUGGAGCGGCCGAUGUCUGAUUAGCUAGUUGGUGAGGUAAAGGCUUACCAAGGCUUCGAUCAGUAGCUGGUCUGAGAGGACGACCAGCCACACUGGGACUGAGACACGGCCCAGACUCCUACGGGAGGCAGCAGUGGGGAAUUUUGGACAAUGGGGGAAACCCUGAUCCAGCCAUGCCGCGUGAGUGAAGAAGGCCUUCGGGUUGUAAAGCUCUUUCAGCCGGAACGAAACGGUCACGGCUAAUACCUGUGAUCACUGACGGUACCGGAAGAAGAAGCACCGGCUAACUACGUGCCAGCAGCCGCGGUAAUACGUAGGGUGCGAGCGUUAAUCGGAAUUACUGGGCGUAAAGCGUGCGCAGGCGGUUUUGUAGGUCAGAUGUGAAAUCCCCGGGCUCAACCUGGGAACUGCGUUUGAAACUACAAGGCU